rnacentral:rRNA from 1 species
GAUGAACGCCGGCGGCGUGCCUAAGACAUGCAAGUCGAGCGAACAGACGAGGGGCUUGCUCCUCUGACGUUAGCUGCGGACGGGUGAGUAACACGUGGAUAACCUACCUAUAAGACUGGGAUAACUUCGGGAAACCGGAGCUAAUACCGGAUAACAUGUUGAACCGCAUGGUUCAACAGUGAAAUACGGUCUUGCUGUCACUUAUAGAUGGAUCCGCGCCGCAUUAGCUAGUUGGUAAGGUAACGGCUUACCAAGGCAACGAUGCGUAGCCGACCUGAGAGGGUGCUCGGCCACACUGGAACUGAGACACGGUCCAGACUCCUACGGGAGGCAGAAGUAGGGAAUCCUACGCAAUGGCCGAAAGCCUGACGGAGCAACGCCGCGUGAGUGAAGACGGUCUUCGGAUCGUAAAACUCUGUUAUUAGGGAAGACCAAAUGUGUAAGUAACUAUGCACGUCUUGCCGGUACCUACCCAGAAAGCCACGGCUAACUACGUG